GAUGAACGCUGGCGGUAUGCUUAACACAUGCAAGUCGAACGAAGGCUUCGGCCUUAGUGGCGCACGGGUGCGUAACGCGUGGGAAUCUGCCCCCUGGUUCGGAAUAACAGCGAGAAAUUGCUGCUAAUACCGGAUGAUGACGUAAGUCCAAAGAUUUAUCGCCAGGGGAUGAGCCCGCGUAGGAUUAGGUAGUUGGUGGGGUAAGAGCCUACCAAGCCGACGAUCCUUAGCUGGUCUGAGAGGAUGAUCAGCCACACUGGGACUGAGACACGGCCCAGACUCCUACGGGAGGCAGCAGUGGGGAAUAUUGGACAAUGGGCGCAAGCCUGAUCCAGCAAUGCCGCGUGAGUGAUGAAGGCCUUAGGGUUGUAAAGCUCUUUUACCCGGGAUGAUAAUGACAGUACCGGGAGAAUAAGCUCCGACUAACUCCGUGCCAGCCGCCGCAGUAAUAC
rnacentral:rRNA from 1 species